rnacentral:rRNA from 1 species
GACGAACGCUGGCGGCAUGCCUAACACAUGCAAGUCGAACGGGACCUUCCUGUCUAGUUGCGCACGGGGGCUUAACGCCUGGGAACCUACCCGUGGGUUCGGAAUAACUCCCCGAAGGGUAUGCUAAUACCGGAUAAUGUCUUCGGACCUAGGAGUUAUCGCCGUUGGGUGGGCCCGGGUUAGUUUAGUUGGUUGGUAGGGUAAUAGCCUACCAAGGCGACGUUGCAUAGCUGGUAUGAGAGGAUGAUCAGCCACAAUGGGACUGCGGCACGGCCCAGAACGCUAGGGAAGGGAGCAGUGGGGAGUACUGGACACUGGGCGCAGGUGCGACAACGCAACGUGCGGGAAGUGAUGAAGGCCUUAGGGUUGUACAGCCCUCUUAGACGAGAUGAUAAUGACAGUACCGGGAGAAUAAGCACCGGCUAACUACGUG